UCCUGGCUCAGAUUGAACGCUGGCGGCAUGCUUUACACAUGCAAGUCGAACGGCAGCGCGGGGCAACCUGGCGGCGAGUGGCGAACGGGUGAGUAAUAUAUCGGAACGUACCCAAGAGUGGGGGAUAACGUAGCGAAAGUUACGCUAAUACCGCAUACGAUCUAAGGAUGAAAGCAGGGGACCGCAAGGCCUUGUGCUCCUGGAGCGGCCGAUAUCUGAUUAGCUAGUUGGUAGGGUAAAGGCCUACCCAGGCUACGAUCAGUAGCUGGUCUGAGAGGACGACCAGCCACACUGGAACUGAGACACGGUCCAGACUCCCUACGGAGGCAGCAGUGGGGAAUUUU
rnacentral:rRNA from 1 species